AGGGCUAUAGCUCCGCGGUAGAGCGCCUCGAUUAUGGUUCAAAAGUAUCUAUGGUUCAAAUCUCGAUAGCUCUA
rnacentral:tRNA from 1 species